rnacentral:rRNA from 1 species
UACGUAGGUGGCAAGCGUUGUCCGGAAUUAUUGGGCGUAAAGCGCGCGCAGGCGGUCCUUUAAGUCUGAUGUGAAAGCCCACGGCUCAACCGUGGAGGGUCUUGAAACUGGGGGACUUGAGUACAGAAGAGGAAAGCGGAAUUCCACGUGUAGCGGUGAAAUGCGUAGAGAUGUGGAGGAACACCAGUGGCGAAGGCGCUUUCUGGUCUGUAACUGACGCUGAGGCGCGAAAGCGUGGGGAGCAAACAGG